GGGUUGUGAGGUUAAGCGACUAAGCGUACACGGUGGAUGCCCUGGCAGUCAGAGGCGAUGAAGGACGUGCUAAUCUGCGAUAAGCGUCGGUAAGGUGAUAUGAACCGUUAUAACCGGCGAUUUCCGAAUGGGGAAACCCAGUGUGUUUCGACACACUAUCAUUAACUGAAUCCAUAGGUUAAUGAGGCGAACCGGGGGAACUGAAACAUCUAAGUACCCCGAGGAAAAGAAAUCAACCGAGAUUCCCCAGUAGCGGCGAGCGAACGGGGAGCAGCCCAGAGCCUGAAUCAGUAUGUGUGUUAGUGGAAGCGUCUGGAAAGGCGCGCGAUACAGGGUGACAGCCCCGUACACAAAAAUGCACAUAUUGUGAGCUCGAUGAGUAGGGCGGGACACGUGGUAUCCUGUCUGAAUAUGGGGGGACCAUCCUCCAAGGCUAAAUACUCCUGACUGACCGAUAGUGAACCAGUACCGUGAGGGAAAGGCGAAAAGAACCCCGGCGAGGGGAGUGAAAAAGAACCUGAAACCGUGUACGUACAAGCAGUGGGAGCACGCUUAGGCGUGUGACUGCGUACCUUUUGUAUAAUGGGUCAGCGACUUAUAUUCUGUAGCAAGGUUAACCGAAUAGGGGAGCCGAAGGGAAACCGAGUCUUAACUGGGCGUUAAGUUGCAGGGUAUAGACCCGAAACCCGGUGAUCUAGCCAUGGGCAGGUUGAAGGUUGGGUAACACUAACUGGAGGACCGAACCGACUAAUGUUGAAAAAUUAGCGGAUGACUUGUGGCUGGGGGUGAAAGGCCAAUCAAACCGGGAGAUAGCUGGUUCUCCCCGAAAGCUAUUUAGGUAGCGCCUCGUGAAUUCAUCUCCGGGGGUAGAGCACUGUUUCGGCAAGGGGGUCAUCCCGACUUACCAACCCGAUGCAAACUGCGAAUACCGGAGAAUGUUAUCACGGGAGACACACGGCGGGUGCUAACGUCCGUCGUGAAGAGGGAAACAACCCAGACCGCCAGCUAAGGUCCCAAAGUCAUGGUUAAGUGGGAAACGAUGUGGGAAGGCCCAGACAGCCAGGAUGUUGGCUUAGAAGCAGCCAUCAUUUAAAGAAAGCGUAAUAGCUCACUGGUCGAGUCGGCCUGCGCGGAAGAUGUAACGGGGCUAAACCAUGCACCGAAGCUGCGGCAGCGACACUAUGUGUUGUUGGGUAGGGGAGCGUUCUGUAAGCCUGUGAAGGUGUGCUGUGAGGCAUGCUGGAGGUAUCAGAAGUGCGAAUGCUGACAUAAGUAACGAUAAAGCGGGUGAAAAGCCCGCUCGCCGGAAGACCAAGGGUUCCUGUCCAACGUUAAUCGGGGCAGGGUGAGUCGACCCCUAAGGCGAGGCCGAAAGGCGUAGUCGAUGGGAAACAGGUUAAUAUUCCUGUACUUGGUGUUACUGCGAAGGGGGGACGGAGAAGGCUAUGUUGGCCGGGCGACGGUUGUCCCGGUUUAAGCGUGUAGGCUGGUUUUCCAGGCAAAUCCGGAAAAUCAAGGCUGAGGCGUGAUGACGAGGCACUACGGUGCUGAAGCAACAAAUGCCCUGCUUCCAGGAAAAGCCUCUAAGCAUCAGGUAACAUCAAAUCGUACCCCAAACCGACACAGGUGGUCAGGUAGAGAAUACCAAGGCGCUUGAGAGAACUCGGGUGAAGGAACUAGGCAAAAUGGUGCCGUAACUUCGGGAGAAGGCACGCUGAUAUGUAGGUGAAGUCCCUCGCGGAUGGAGCUGAAAUCAGUCGAAGAUACCAGCUGGCUGCAACUGUUUAUUAAAAACACAGCACUGUGCAAACACGAAAGUGGACGUAUACGGUGUGACGCCUGCCCGGUGCCGGAAGGUUAAUUGAUGGGGUUAGCCGCAAGGCGAAGCUCUUGAUCGAAGCCCCGGUAAACGGCGGCCGUAACUAUAACGGUCCUAAGGUAGCGAAAUUCCUUGUCGGGUAAGUUCCGACCUGCACGAAUGGCGUAAUGAUGGCCAGGCUGUCUCCACCCGAGACUCAGUGAAAUUGAACUCGCUGUGAAGAUGCAGUGUACCCGCGGCAAGACGGAAAGACCCCGUGAACCUUUACUAUAGCUUGACACUGAACAUUGAGCCUUGAUGUGUAGGAUAGGUGGGAGGCUUUGAAGUGUGGACGCCAGUCUGCAUGGAGCCGACCUUGAAAUACCACCCUUUAAUGUUUGAUGUUCUAACGUUGACCCGUAAUCCGGGUUGCGGACAGUGUCUGGUGGGUAGUUUGACUGGGGCGGUCUCCUCCUAAAGAGUAACGGAGGAGCACGAAGGUUGGCUAAUCCUGGUCGGACAUCAGGAGGUUAGUGCAAUGGCAUAAGCCAGCUUGACUGCGAGCGUGACGGCGCGAGCAGGUGCGAAAGCAGGUCAUAGUGAUCCGGUGGUUCUGAAUGGAAGGGCCAUCGCUCAACGGAUAAAAGGUACUCCGGGGAUAACAGGCUGAUACCGCCCAAGAGUUCAUAUCGACGGCGGUGUUUGGCACCUCGAUGUCGGCUCAUCACAUCCUGGGGCUGAAGUAGGUCCCAAGGGUAUGGCUGUUCGCCAUUUAAAGUGGUACGCGAGCUGGGUUUAGAACGUCGUGAGACAGUUCGGUCCCUAUCUGCCGUGGGCGCUGGAGAACUGAGGGGGGCUGCUCCUAGUACGAGAGGACCGGAGUGGACGCAUCACUGGUGUUCGGGUUGUCAUGCCAAUGGCACUGCCCGGUAGCUAAAUGCGGAAGAGAUAAGUGCUGAAAGCAUCUAAGCACGAAACUUGCCCCGAGAUGAGUUCUCCCUGACUCCUUGAGAGUCCUGAAGGAACGUUGAAGACGACGACGUUGAUAGGCCGGGUGUGUAAGCGCAGCGAUGCGUUGAGCUAACCGGUACUAAUGAACCGUGAGGCUUAACCUUACAACGCCGAAGGUGUUU
rnacentral:rRNA from 1 species